GACGAACGCUGGCGGCGUGCUUAACACAUGCAAGUCGAACGGAAAGGCCUCUUUCGGGGGGUACUCGAGUGGCGAACGGGUGAGUAACACGUGAGUAACCUGCCCUUGACUUUGGGAUAACUUCAGGAAACUGGGGCGAAUACAGGAUAGGAGCUCCUGCUGCAUGGUGGGGGUUGGAGAGUUUCGGCGGUUGGGGGUGGACUCGCGGCUUAUCAGCUUGUUGGUGGGGUAGUGGCUUACCAAGGCCUUGGCGGGUAGCCGGCCUGGGGGGGUGACCGGCCACAUUGGGACCGAGAUGCGACCCAGGCUCCUACGGGAGGCAGCAGUGGGGAAUAUUGCACAAUGGGUGGGAGCCUGAUGCAGCAACGCCGUGUGCGGGAUGACGGCCUUCGGGUUGUAAACCGCUUUCGCUCAUGACGAAGCUUUGUGUGACGGUAGUGGGUAAAGAAGCACCGGCUAACUACGUG
rnacentral:rRNA from 1 species